rnacentral:tRNA from 1 species
GCCGGCGUAGCCCAACGGAAGAGGCCCGGGUCCUAGGAACCCGUCAGUGUGGGUUCGAAUCCCACCGCCGGCACCA